UUCGCUGCAAAUUCAGCGAACGGGUUUGGCGACCCGGAUAGAAAAGGCGCACAGGCGCCCCCAUUACGAUUGCAGGCGCUUUUUUU
rfam:Pseudomonas fluorescens Pf-5, complete genome.